UUUCCUGCCAGCUGCUACUGGGUUUUUAGUCAGCGCCGAUAGCUCUGGUAACUGGGAAAGGACCGGGCUGCGUGAUUCACCGGCUCUCCCCCGGCGCGCGGAGGGACGGCACCUCCCCUGUCCCCCGGGCCUCCCCCGUGAGCCCCUGUGACUGAGACACAGAAAGCGCCCGCACGCUCAUCGCCGCCCGAAGGCUGAUGGUGUCUGUGUGCGUGGAUGCGUGCGCGGCCUGGGCGUGUGUGCUGGCAGGGGCUUUUUUCUGAAUGCACCAGCGCCGAGGGAGAUGGGCCCCUGUUUUGAGAAGUCAGAACGUAACUCUAAGCUGAGCGUUGCCCCUCUCACGGGGAGCCCCGGGCUCUCUCUGAGGUGUAACCACAGUGAGCUUGCCGUGGUCCGGAUGAGGACAUGGUAGUCACAUUGAAAAUUUUAUUUCCUGGCGUUUCGGAAGAUGCAGAGGAAAAUCCCCCACUGUAGCAAAGGACUCUUUCAAAUAGAAAACUGAGAAUGUGUCCCUUCAUUUUUUUUUUCCUUUAUGCUGUGGGCCAGAGUUUUGAAUUUGUCCACGAUGUUGGUGAGCAUUUGGCUAAGUGUCUUUCAUCAGCUCGAGUGUCACUUCUGAAGCACAGACUCGAGUUUAGAGAGCAGCCUCUCUGCAGAGUGAGGCCGGGACGGGCAGCACCCAGGAGCCUGCGAGAUGUGCAGAACUUCUGGCCCCUCCCGGCCUGCUGAGCCAACUUUCUGGACGGGGGUCCCAGCUGUCAGUCUGGGUUUUAGCUGGCUCUCCAGGAGGUCUUGUCUCACCACCAAGGGUAAGAAGUCACAGACCUUGCUGGGAGAUUUCAUGGAUGUUCUUGACAGAUCCGGGUUGAGACGAAGGCACACGGUGCUCCAGCGCAGGAUGGAAUGAUUUACUCCACGUGUAUUUACUGCCCACCCCGUGGUACCAGGCUCUGUGCUGGACACAGCAAGGGACCACCUGGCACCCAGAGCCCAAAUCCUUGUCUUCAGGGGUCCCAGUCUGGAGGAAGCAGAGGAAGUCAGCAACAAGGAUGCCGUCUAAUCUGGAGGAGCUCCCUAGACAGAUAUGGGUGGGGUGCCCGCGGGGGUGCUGGCGGGAACGGUCGGGGACACCUGUACUAUUUCAUCAGGGUGGGAAUUAGACGUAUGGGAGAGAGAAAGUUGGGUGAUAGCCUCAGAUGGUUUGGGGUUUAUCCCAGCUCUGAGGCUGUGUAGUGUAGCAGGCUCAGACAAGUCCUCUCAACCUCAGCUUUCUCAUCUGUGUAAUGGGCUGAAUGAUAUUUCCUUUCUGAUUGUGUUGAAACUCAAGUGAGUUAAUGCUUGCCAAGUGCUUAGCACAGGCCUCACUCAUCUUCAUGAAGAUGAUGGCAUCUGAGGGCAGUGGGGAGCCACUGAGGUUUUUUGGCCGUAGGUGACACGAACAGAACACUGUAAUCACUCCUAGAAAUGCCUUGUCCAUUUAGGCCAGUAGAGGCUCUUUGUUGAGCAUAAGACACAAGGACCGAUAAUAUUUCAGGCUGUAAUCAAGUUUAAAAUGUGUCUGAGAAAAUAUGUUAAAUCCUCAAAAGCUCUCCCCUUCCUCCAUCAUCAUAUUUUUGGAUCCUAAAAUCAGCCAAAUGCAGAAUCUGUCCACUUUCCAAAGCAACGUGCCUUUGGACUGAGAACAAAAUUGCAGAACAACAGUUGAUUUUUUUCCCUCUCAAACAGUCCCAAGGCCCAGAAUACAAGGAGACCUUGACUUCCGAAGCUCGUGCUUCUCGCGGCAGCUGACCAACCCGCUGCCCUCGGACAGGAUGAGUUCUGGAGGUUCCCAGCCAGUGGCCUGCUUUCUUCACACCCUGGCAGGGGUGGCUCCGGGCCAUGCCCAGGAGACAGCUGACCAGGGUUGGUUCUUCUCAAAGACGGGAAAACCUGGGGAGAGAGGGGAGGAGUGGGUCAUGGGGAUGUAAGCCCCGGAGCCACCACUGUCCCUGGGGUGUUCUGGAGGAGCUCUCCAGAAUCCCUCCCAUCUCAAGGCAGCCGCUACACAGAUGUGAUUCAUCCGUCCUACCCAUGACCGCCAGGCACUCCACACACGUCUGUCUUCAGAGUGCCUCUCUGGCGGGAGAGCAGGCGUUUGACAGAUGUCGCAUGAUGAGACAGGAGAUGAGGGCGGGCUGGAGUAAACCAAGGUCCUCACCGUGGCUCUGCUGAGCCAGGCAAAGCCAGCCUCAGCUCCCCGGGAAGCUUCCUCUCUGGCCUUAGGCUCUUCUUCCUGAGCAAUCUCUACCUGCUGGCCUCGGAAGGAGGGGGACAGCGUUUCGGGUGGGGCACCUCGAAGCACCCCGACGCCCACAUUUGGAGGCGACGCGGGCAGGCCAGGUGCAUUGCAGGAAAACGCGUGCGGCAGCUGCACCCACAUCAGAGGCGUGCGGCCCCGUGUGGGAGUCCAGGGGGCGUAGGGUGCUAUUCCCGGCGCGGGCGCUGCCUUACUGUGAUACGAAGCCUCCCUCUAUCUCGGUUUCCCCAUCUCUAAAGUGGGGCAAGAUCUAACUUUUCUGGUUCCACAAAAGCUCACAGGCAAACCACUUGGCUGGUCAGGAACCUGGCCUCCCUGCUGGGCCCUGGGAACCAGACCUUCCCGAUUCCUCCCUGAGAAUCUAUCUGGCGCUGCCUCCACUCAGGUUCUAAGAGGAGGUGAUCCCAUUAGAAGGAGCGCUCCUGGUUUCCAGGUAAAUCAUCCCUGUGGCUCUCACAGCUCCAGCCGGCCUCUGCACCACCUCCCAAGUGCCCUUUCUGACCCACAGUUGGUUUCUGCCACUGUCCUGUUUAACUCCCACUAAGACCUCUGUGCAGAAACAUUCAAGGCUCCUGUUACCCUCCUGCCCGCCCUCCCUGAUUUUCUGAUGUAGACCUGCCAGCUGCACACGACAGCUCCCAGUUCCUCAGUCAAGCCAGGUCCUUUUCAAGUCCCAGUGACUCUGCCAAUGCUGUUUCCUCUCUGCGCGCCCUUUCCCUUGGAUCAGCUCAGCAAACUCCUCUUCAUCCGUCAGAACCCAGCUUCGUGAUCGUCCCCACCGGGAAGCCUUCCCUGACCCUGUAUUCUGUCAUCCUGAGGCUCAGAAUCAGGGGGUGGGGCGCUCCGAGGCUCACUCCUGUCCACCCCUCCCAGACAGGCUGGCUGGAGUGCUUCCGGCUUUAGGAGAGCAGGAGCGAAUUGAACCUGCCUUGUCCCGCUUUGCUGGCAGACUCCUACCCCUCAAAAGAAAGUCUGGAAUUCCUGUUCCAGGAAAUCCCUGGGUCAGGAAGGUGGGAAGCAGGGAGGGACAGCUGUCAGGAGGCAGAAGACAGGUGGAGAUGCCUAUUCUGGUUUCAGUCAGAUUGGAGCUGGGUGAGAAGGACCGCUGGGAAGUGGUCAGCAAAAACCAGUCUGAAUGUGGUCCAAGGGCCCCGGGCUGUGUGUGAUCACCUGGUGCUGAUGCCCAGGGUUGUUCUCGGGAAGGUGGGGAGGGUGCUGGGGAGGGGCCGGCGCUCCCUGACAUUUCAGCACAAGUCUGCCCCAGCAGCAAGCAUAAGGAAGGGCCCGAAGGUGAUCUGAUGCCAAGGAUCCUUCUGUCUGGGCUGAGCUGUGCCUUCAGGAAGGCAAGGAGGCCGUGAGAAAGGGGAGGCCCAGCUGAACAGGAGAUAAAGCCAGGGAGGGGAGGGGCCGGCAGCCCAUCCUAUUCCUGUCCCAGGCUGACAGCUUGUGACAUUCAGAUAGCUCCCUAGGUCUGGUUUUUCCUGUUCCUGAAGUUGCUGCAGCAGGACACACGGCUCGGGCAGGAGUGGCCAUUGGUGAGCGUCGCCGGGGUGUGUGUGUGUGUGUGUGUGUGUGUGUGUGUGUGUGUGUGUGUGUGUGUAUGUGCGCGCGAGUUAUGUCUCAGUUUAAAGAAACAGGAAAUUCAGGAUUUGUAUCAGCACCACAUCCCAGGCUCCUUGUUUCCUAGAAAGGAAGGGCAGAUAACACGGAGCCUGGGCCCCCACUGAGGCUGGGGCUGGGCCGAAGGAAGGGGCUUCGGGGUUGGCCUGGCCUUGGCCUGCGGCAGCAGCUGGCUCCUGGGUGCCUGCUUUCUUCUCUGCUAGAAAAGGACCUGCUGGAAAAAGCCUGGACGAAGUCGGGUGGGGAACAGGCUUGGCUCGAGAAAGUUCUGGACUCUUGAGUCUUGUCAGGUCUCCAGUCCUGGUUGCCUCCGUCCUGGGCAAUCAGCGAGAGUGACAGGAAGGGUAACUCUGGAGCAGAGGGAGGUUACGGAGGGUGAGAGGGGCCAGGGCAGCUGUGGAGGGUCCUGGGCCCCUGAGCUGGAGCCUCAGGUUCCAGAGUUAAGGCAGUGAGAGCUGGGGGGUGAGUUGGGGGAGCUGUUUCCUUCACAGCCUGGAAGCUGAGGCCCCGGAUGCUGAGUGACUGGUCCAGCGUCCUGUGGUACUCAGCUGCUUGAUGUCACCAGCCUCCCCUCGCAGCGACCUUCCAUUAGAUGGUCCAGACAUCCCGACUCUGAGUCUCCGAAUGCCAGGCCGGGCACUUGAGUGGGCUGGCGCCCCGCCCAUCCCCCGGGCCGCCCCUCAGUGCAGGGCCUGGGGCCGCUUUGGGCUGGGGCAUCAGGGCUGCAAGCACACGGGGGCCGGCUGCUCGGGCCCUGACGCAGGGCACAGACCCCGCGGUGCCUCCAGGCAACAUGGUCUGACUUCCUGGGCUUGGGGGCCGGUCUUGGAGCUGGGGCUCCUUUGAUACAUCUCUGUCUCUAUCUGCUGCUCUUAUUCUGCUCAAAAGAGCAGUGACUUGAGCGUCUGGCUUGGAGGCAGCUCUCCCCCACGGGGAGGGAAAGGGCCCUGAGUGGCUGCUUGGGUCCUGAGUCCCGGCUGCUGGGCCCAGGCCUCUCCCUGGUGUGGGCUCCCUGGAACUGAACCCCAGAACUCAGACCUCAGGUCUCCCCCCAGGCCCUCCCUCCCUCCCUCCAGGGGCUCUUGGAUCUCUGACCCCCUGACCUCGGUGCUCUCUGGCUCCUGGUGGUGGGUGAGCACCACUGGGAGAGGGGCUGGGGCAGAGCCUGGAGGCCAGAACAGCUCACGCUGCAAAGUCUCUGUGCACUGAUUUCCCCCCAGCUUGUUCCACUUUUAAAAAUAGCUAAUGAGGAAAUUAAUUUUGUCACCCAGAUGUAUUUGGUAAAAACAUGUCAGGGAAAGACAAUUAACCUCUACACUGAUAAAUCCUUCCCAAAUUAAUGAAGUUAAUAUUUGAAGAUGUUGAGACAUUCAUCUGGGGAGAGAGGCCACAAAAGCGAGGCCCCUCCAGGCAGAGAAGGAGAGACACAAAAAAGAGGAGAGACAGACAGAGAGGAAAGGAUAUACUAGGAGGAAGAAUCAGGGGAGAGCAGGGUAGGGAGGUGGGAAGGAAUGGCAGAGCAAGACAGACAGACAGAUGGACAGAAUGAGAGAGAGAGGCGAGAACAUGUGUUUAGAGGGAACACGGCUAUAAUGUCUUUCGAGAAUUUUCCAUUUUUCCAGGUAUUCCAUUGCAAUAGAUUUUGGGGCAGAAGACCCGACAAACAAAAGCACAGGAUGAAAAGAGUGGAGUACUUGUCAGGGUGGGCUUUUCUAGCCCACAUUGAUGCAGUCUUCUCUUGGCUCCAAGAUUUUGGAUUCUUCUUCUCAUUAGAGGCAGCCAGGGAGCGCCGGGCUGUGGGAAGUGGCCGGCCAGCAGGAGAUGGCACGGUGGUGACUGCCGUUUUCUCUUCCUGUGUUUUCCUGGAGGGUCACAGAAUCCUGGCUGGAGGAACCCUCAAUUAAUACCCACCCCCCGACAAUUCAACGCCUCUUCUAUCUCUUACCCUUUUACCCCCGGGAACCAGGGAAAAGAUGAGACCCCCUUGGAAGAGGUCAGCCUCUGCCUGAGUUGGGUCUUGUCACCCCAGGCUGGGAUUGGAGUGGAAGGACAGGUGGCCUUAUGUCAGAGAGAGGGACAGGUGGGGGGUGUGGGCAGGCUGGCACCCACAUGGGCAGGGGCCAGCACAGCCAGACCUUUGAGUUCCUGAUCCUCCGCAGCCUGAACCCCCACUGGGGACCCUCAGCUCAUGAAGCGAAUCCCAACCUGGCGCACCUGGAACUCAGAUUGAAAUGGAAACUUCGUUGGGGACGUUCGGCCUUGGAGCCAUCGGGGAGAAUGGCUGAGGCUUCUCUCAGGCUUCAGUCCAGACUCUGCUCCUGAGGUGCUGACAGGCAGGAGGCCCCUGGGGAACCCAGACGUCACAUUUUUCCCAGAGGCCCAGGCUUGGCCUUCAGACCCCAGCCAAAGACGCCGCUUUGCUCUCGUCUGUUAAAAGACCCUUUCUUUAUUAAUUUCUUCCAACUGUGUGAAAUGCAAACAGGACAUGAAGCAUCCAUCAUUCCAAUCCUGUCAAGUUACUAGUUCUGGGAAGCAGAGGUCAGGACCGGGGCUGGGGGCUCGUGUUGCCGUGGGGAGCCUUUCCAUCCGGAGGCAAAGAAGUGGGAGAGACGCAUGGGACUGUGCGCCUGCCCAGAAAACCCAGGGGCAGCGACAAUGACCAGCCCACGGCAGGGCCCAGGAGGCUGAGCUGGAGUCGGGCCUGGGCCGCCUUGUUGGAAAGCCGAAGGGGCCGGAGGAAGAGUUCAUGGUGUGGAGACGGGAGGGCGCCGGCAACAGAAGAGGCUGGCCUGCUUGUUUCUACACUUGCAGAAAAGCCAGCCAAGUUGCUCUCACCGUCACGGCGGGCACAGACAGAAGAGGGCGAGACAUCAGAACUCAGGAAACAGGCCCCGACUGCAGCUUGAAGGGCUGGAUUAGAGGGGUGACCGUGGUCAGGGGUCAACUGCGUUUCCAAGCCGGUCUGGACUGGACGUCUCCUCCUCAGGGAGGUCAAGAGACAAGUGACAUGCCAAAGUUCACAGGGUCAGCGGCACACUGAGACGCACCCCAGGGGCAGGACGGCGCCCGGCUCUGCUCUGCCCGGGGCCUGGAUCUCGGCCAGGUUCUUCAUCUCCAGACCCCAGUUUCCUCACCUGAGACACAGGCACCGUCAGAGCUCCGGGGCGGCUGCAUUGGUCUGCUCAGGCUGCCGUAACAGAACAUCCCCGACUGGGCUGACACCGCACAGACGCACGGUCUCCCCGCUUGGGAGGCUGCGGUCCCAGAUCAAGAUGUGCUUGCCGUAAAUAUUCACUCCAAAUUAUCCGAAGAACAGUCACCGUUUGUCCCAGCGUUGACCUGCGUGUCGUCUCCCAGGGCUGGUGGUGGCUGCUCCCUCCGUGGGUAGGGCUUCAGCACCGCGGAGGACUGGCCCCCGCGGUCCCUUCCCGCCGGCUCAUUACCGUCUGCUCAGGGUGACCUUGUGGCUGACUCCGAGGGAGGGGAAAGAACGAGCGGGGACGGCCUGGGCACUGCCUGGCACUGAACUUGAUCGUGGUACCGCAGGCCCCAGGACAGGUAUGGGGAAAUGGAAGCCCACCCUCCUGCCCGCCCCGGGGCGGCUGCCCCUGCCUGAGCCACUCGGCACGUGGCCGUCCCGCGGACGUCACCUUGGAGCCGACGAGCUGAUGCGUCUAAUUAAGUCCUGCUCUCCAGCUGACAAGUACCAGCCCCGCUGCAGAGAAGAUCGGGGCCCCCCAAGGGCUUCCCUCUGGCAGGGCUAAAUACUAAUGACCUCUCUUUACUCCGUGAUUAUUCAGGGUCAAUGACGGCACCGCAUCCCAAAGCGAGCAGUCAGUGCCAGGAGACACGAAACAGUGUGUAAACUGUAGUGUGCUGCCCGCCGGCCCCAAACUGUGGGAGGGAUUGUCGUCGCCGGGGGAAGGGGCCCCUUUGUUACCAGGUGCGCCUCCAAGCUGCGCCUGCGGGCUGCUGACCCACGGGGAGUUUCCGGCUGGAAGGGAAGGGACGCAGUCUGCCCGGCCAGGAAGCUCAGGAGAGAAGCUCCCUUUGAAGCUGAGUCACAGGUGGUUCAGACACGACACACCUGAGCAGAGGUCGGCGCCCUUCAGGUGGUCACGGCUGAACAGACAUCCACAGGGAACCCAGGAUGCGCCGGGCGUCCGGCUGGCCCUGGAGGGGAGCAGGGGUGAGAGACACAGCCUGCUGUGUGUGCGGGUCUAGACUGGACCCGGGGGUUCAUGUCAGAAAACUGCCCUUAUAAGUGUGUGUGUGUGUGUGCAUUUUGCACACUGGGGGCAGUCCCUACACUGACAGAGAGUGAGGGGAUUAGCACACGGCAACGAUGAAAGAUCUGGUUUUAAAUGACCCCCCUUCUUGGCACACGGGGUCCACGCGGCAACAGCUCAUCGACUGAGACGCCCGCUGGACGCCCUUGGCUCUGGUUUCCUUCAAGAGGCGACUGAGGUGAAGGUGCCAGCGUGAGGCCUGGGGCAUCCAGUGUGGCAGGCGGAGAGUACAUCCCAGCGUCCUGAUUAGUCCUCAGUAAUGGAGGAGCAGGUCUGUAAUUACGACAUGAGGUCAUCUUAAUUAGAAUGACAUAAAGUAAUGUCUAAUUAGGCAUUAUCCCGUUUUUAAAGACUUGUCAGAUUCAAAGGCAAAAUCUUCCAGCAUCUCGGUGGUGAACUUUGAAGUUCUCCAUUGGUGUUCUUUGUCUCUCUGCCCCCUUGGCGAGGGGCAGGGCCGACCAGCUGCUGGCCUCCAGUGAGUGCUCGGGCCCGUGUGCUGGCCCUCCUUGGCACCACCUGCACGCAGAAGGAGAGGCAGGGGUGGGGGUGGUCCAGGUAGGGGUCAGGAGGGGCUUGUGGGGAGGGCCGGGCUCCUUCCUUUGCUCUCAGGCGCCCUCCUUUUCCCAGGAGGAAGUGUUACACGGGAUGAAAGAACAACAUUGGGAACCAGAAUAGCCUUGCAGGACCCGGUCCGCCCGUGAACUUCCCUGUCUCUCUGACCCUAUCUUUCUUCAUCUGUGAAACAGAGCUGGUCUGUGAGUGGAGGUCGAAGAGGGUGGUUGGAACAGAGCAACGGUUCUUAAACAAAGUUUCCAGAAAACUCUGUUCCUUAAGCUGGACUAAAGGAUUUUGCUACUAAAA